rnacentral:piRNA from 1 species
UCAAAUGAGUUAUUUACUUUGGCUAAUAC